GCUUCACGCUCUAAAAACACAACACUCAGCUUAGGCAAUUAACAUAAAUUUUGGUAUCAUGAAAAUCACGGUUUGGGGUUUUUUGUUUGUUUUGUUUUUGCAUACCUACUAUGCACUAAGCACUGGUAGGAAGGAGGCCCUAAUAGGAGGGCAUUUCAUUUCUACUGCAAGGAAAGAGAGAGAUGAAUAAAUAAAGCUGUUUUCAGAUCGUGGUAAACCUUAGGAAAGGGGGGAAAAAAAAAAGAUGGUGUGAUAGAGCACUACUGAUAGAAAGGGGGGGCGGGCAAUUAGAAAGGACGGAGAUCUAAAUUCCAGAUGCAAGUCACGCUGACAUCUGGGGGAUGCAUACUCUAAGCACAGAAGACAGCACGUGCUAGUAAAGCCCUAGACAUGUCAGUUUGGUGAGCUGGCGCCAAGAGAAGAAAGGGCAGGGGGGAGAGUGGUUGUGAGGGCGCAGAGGAGUCUGGAUCUCUCAUCCCAAGUACAAUGAAAAGCCACUGGGGAGUUUAAAGCAGGAGAGUGGUGUUCUUUUGGUUUAGGUUUUAAAGAUCACUUGGGCUGGGUGGGAAUUAGGCUGAAAGUAGGCAAGGGUGGGAGCAGAGAGGCCGAUGAGGAACCGACCGCCGAGGCGCAGGCAGAGGACCCGGCUAGGGUUGUAGCCGUGGUGACAAGGAGAAGUAGAACCAACAGGACAGGCCUCAGAUGGGUUGGAUUUAGAUGAUGAAAUGAACAGGCCAUUCAAAGGCAACUCCUAGGUUUCCUGCUUCCGCUGGAUACACAGCAUGGUCACUUACGGAGAUAGGGAUGGAGUGGGUUUCAACAGGUGGGAAUUAAGACUUCUCCCUUGGGCGAUGUGAGUUGCAGGUGGCUAUCGGACAGCCAUGUGGCUGUCUGAACCGAAAGAAAGCUUAGUGAUUUUUGUUCAUUCUUCUCUUUUUGCAGCUGAAGGAAAAAAAAGUGACGUUCACCAUCACACAGCUUGUUUAGUAGUGCGAACCAGUACUAGGAUCCAGGCCCUACAGCUACACAGAAGAACAAAGACCUGAGCCAAUCUGAAUUAAGGUCCUACUUCAAAACCUGCAUUGUUUUUGCUGCCUUUCUCACAGAUUAGAGAAGGAGAAUCUGAUGGCUAAACUGCGAGACAAAAGGAAGGUCUAAGCUCAAGUUGGGAGCGGCAGAAAAAGGAGAUGGAUUUGAGAGACAGGAAGGUAACUGACACCUGUCAGGAUGUUCUGAAGAGUGGGUCCAAUGUUCCAAAGGAAUUGGAAGCCAGAUUUAGACUGUCUUCAACCUUGACAAUUAAGACGCUUUCCACCAAUCCACCAAUGCUUUCAUCACUCCUGUCAUCAUAUAAUUGUGGCUUAUAUUGAGUGAAGACAUGUGUGCCAAGGACCCCUGAACUCAUCCAGUAUUUACUGAGCACGAGAACUGUAUGCAGUUCAAUCUGAAGACAGAACACACACUGCUAGCAAAGCUUCUCUGCCAGAACCCUGAGAUUGCCAAUUGCUUUCCACAAAACACUUCCUCUGAGCCGGUUAUGAUCAAGGUUCCGUAGAGGGUAUUAUAAAGAUGAAAAAGACCCCAAGGAAGAAUACUUCACUGAUCCCGACACAGAACAUACGCUGGAAAAAGCUCCACAACAUAAGUGGUGGUGAAAGCCUGUCCCAUUUUUCCCACUUAAUUUGCUUUAGGAAUGUGUAAAAUCUAAAGGCUCAAUUAAUCUAAUGAUGUGUCAAAGAAGAGAAAGAUCACCCUGGCCAAAAAGGAAUUCUGCACAUGUUGCAGAGCCCAGAAGGAAGAAUGUUGAGGAAGAGGUGGACGAUGGCCAGUUCCCCACAAAGAUCAACCCUCCAACUGGUAUUUUAAAUAAAAACAAUUUUUUAAUUUUUAAAACUAUGAUGGGGGACUUAGGGAUUAUUGGGUGUAUAAAAUAAAUAUUUUGUAAUUUGUUUAAAUGUUCCUUCCAUCACACUAACCAACACAGUGACAAGUCAGCUCCUAGAGACACUGCUUUACCACUUAAGAACCUAGUUGGUCCCGUAUCUCUCUUUAGUGUAUUACCAACACCAGGAGACCCAACUGAAAUGCUUCCAAGGGCAGGCACAUAGAUGGAGUGAUAGCACUAAGAUAAAGAGCAUUGCCCUCAGCAGACUGGAGAGCCCUCACACAUCUAAAGGGGAGAGGCAGCCACUGCUCUGUUCCCGCUAAUGCUGUUUCUGCUGAGAAGGGUGCUGGGACCUCGAGAGAGGUUGAAAAAUCCAGAUCUCUAAGAAUGUGAAUUCUCACACUGUACAGAUGUUCAAUUUCUUAAAGAUUAAAGAGUUAAUGCUUUUUAACAGUUAUCAAAAAAAAUUAAAUGCUAACACUAAUACUGAUCAAAAGGUAGAAAGGCUGACCUUAGGCUUGGCCCUUGUGACCCAGGAAUGUCAUUCCUCUUACUCUUUUCAUAACAUCCUUUGUCUUUUUUUUUGAUGCUCAACCCAUCUCUGGCCACAUGCUCUCUAGGAGAGGACAACAGUCAUGUCUUCCAGGUGGAAGAAUGCCCUGCAGUGCUUGGCAGGGGCCGGGUAUGUGGCACUGCCUAUGAAUGAUGGUGGGCGAUACCCUGAAACCUGUCCUAGUGGAUAAUGUAUGCAUCCACUUUUUCCUUUUUUCUUCCCACUGCUCUCCCCACUAGCACCAGUUAGAACUAGCCACCCAGCCUACUGGCCUCUCUUGUUGUUCGUAAUCAUUUUUCAGUUGAUUCUCUACUUUCCAAGUGUGCACUUCAAAUACCUACAUAUAACAGGAGGUUUGCCAACUUCCACUCCAAUGUUUAUAUAUAUAUAUAUAUAUUUUUUUUUUUCUUAUCUUCUGGCUGGUACUUUCUAGUUAGUUUUAUAAUUUCAGCAAAAGUGAGCAUUCUUACCACACAUCUGAUUUAAAUGGGAAUGCUUCUUGUGUUUCACAAAAUAUGAUGCUGGUUUGGCAUAAGACUAUGUAUUUAAAAUAAAGCAAAAAAAAAAAAAAGUAACAAAUUCUACUACUUCUAAUUGCACCAAGUUAAUUUUUUUUCCCUUUUAAAUCAGGAAUGUGUAUUCCUUUUGUUAUUGUUGUUACCAUAAACGAUUUGAUUUAUUCUUCUAAAAGUUAAGUUUGGGGCAGCCCCAGUGGCCCAGCGGUUUAGCACUGCCUUCAGCCCAGGGCGAUCCUGGAGACCCGGGAUCGAGUCCCACCGUCAGGCUCCCUGCAUGGAGCCUGCUUCUCCUUCUGCCUGUGUCUCUGCCUCUCUCUCUCUGUGUCUCAUGAAUAAAUAAAUAAAUAAUUUUUUUUUAAAAAGUUAAGUUUGGCAAAAUUUACAUGAAAUAAAAUUCACUCUUAAAGAAUAUAGUUCAAGGAGUUUUGACGAAUGUGUACAGUCAUGUAACCACUGCCACAAUCAACGUAUCACGAGAUGUUGAAUUUUAGCAAAGCAUUUUUGGCAUUGAUUAAGAUAAGCACAUGGAUUUUUCUUUUUUGACCUAAUGUGGAGCCAAGCUCACAUUCCUGUUAUGUACCACUAGCUCUAGUAUUUAUUUAAUGUACUGCUAAAUUCUAUUUGGUGGUAUUUUAUUGCAGUGUUUUACAUCAAUAUUCAUAAGCAAGACUGAUCUCCAGUAUAUGUGAGUGUACAUAUGCACAUGUGCACACACACCACCUUUGCAAAGUUCUGGUUAUAAAGAUCAUUUUUACAUCUUAAACUUGGAAGUUUGACUUUUUGUGGUAUACUUAGAAAAUGUUGAAACUAUAAUGUGAACACUCAUCCAGGUUUACAUAGGACAAUCUGGUUUACACCAAAUUUCCCAAUUAAAGCCCCAUUUUAACAAAUUAUAAUUUCACCCUUGUUAAUAAUAUCCUUAAAUGCUGGAAGAAUUUACUCAGGCCAUCUGGGGCUUACACUUUGAAUUCUGAGAGCACUUUUUUUUUUUUUAAGAUUUUAUUCAUUUAUUCAUGAGAGACAGAGACACUGGCAGAGGGGAGAAGCAGGCUCCCCAUGGGGAGCCUGAUGUGGUACUUGAUCCCAGGACCUGGGGAUCACAACCUGAGCUGAACGCAGAUGCUCAAUCAUUGAGCCACCCAGGUGCCCUGAGAGCACUUUUCGAUAACUUUUUCAUUUCUUACAUGGUUACUGACUUAGGAUCUCUCUGCUGGGAGCUACUUUGAUAAAAUAAUUUUUUCUAGAAAUACCACAUACUUCGUGUAUCUCCACAGAAUUUCACAUAGUAUCCUACAGAAUUUUUUGAUAAUUUUUCUUUGUCUCUAAUUUUGUUGAUUUUUACUUUCUCUAGUAAUCAAAGAGGUAUUUGUUCAUUGUAACAAAAUUGAAAAAAUAAAGACACACAGGAAAAGUUGAAAGUUACCCAUGAUCCCAUCAUCCAGAAAUAAUUACUAGUGAAAUUAUCAUGUAAAAUACUCCAGACUUUUAUCUGUCUACAUUCCUACCCUCCUACCUACCUACAAUGUUUAUUAGCCUUUUUAUUUUUUAUAUGAUGUAUACAUCUCUUCUAUAUCAAUAAAUACAGAUUUACAUCUUCAAUUUCAAUGGCUAUGAAGCAUCCUUAUACCCUGACUUCCUUAAAUUCCUGACAAUAGGGGAUAGGUAGAUAGGUUAAUUUUUUUUCAACUGUUAACAAUACUGUGUUGAUUUAACAUCUUUGUAUACUCAUCCAAUUAUACAUGUUGAACUGCUAGUCAAAGAUAUAUUUUAAAAAACUUUUUCUUGUAAAAAAGUUUCUACUUACAUAAAAAAUAAGCAAAGAACAAAACUGAGCCAAGAAUAAAGGUUUCCUGCAAUCUAUUGUCCAGCGAUAGCUUCUGUUUAUUUUGUCAGAUGCAUCCACAAAGUCUGACAAACAUGCUUUUUCUUUAACCAUAAAUGAGACCAAAUUACAUCCACUAGAUUGUAAUUUACUACAUAUGCCAUCUUUUCCUGCACAGCAUCAUUCCAUACAGCUCUAAGGCAUCCCAUGGAUAAAAGAACCAUAAUUUCAUUUUCUACUGAUGGAAACUGGUAACGUUUGUAAUUUUUGCUUUUACAAACAAUGCUACAAAGAAUAGCAGUGCUUUAUUUUUUUCCACUAUUGUUCAAUUAUUUCCUUACACUAAAUUCCCAGAGGUAGAAAUGCAAUAUAGGAAGAUAAAUACUUCAAGGCUGAUGAACACAUUGCCCUAAAGAAAAUGUACAUCAAUUGACAUUCCCAACAGAAUCUGAGUGCUUAUUCUCCCCCCAUCCACUCUAACCUUGGUAUUAUCACUCUUCUCAAACUCAGGCUUAGGGAACAAAAUGUAGCACUUUCUUUUGGCAUUUAAAAAAAUUACUAACCGAUUGGACAUUUUCUUUCAUGUGCUCUUUGGUCCUUUACAGUAACUUAAGAAAUCACUUUAUAUUAUCUGAUAUCUAUCUAUAAACGAAACAGCCACAGUAAAUUAUAUUGAUUUCUUAAAAUCAUAGGUCCUGCUUUAGUGGAGAAUUAAAACAGUAAGAAGAAAAACAUGCCUUGCAUUUUAACAGCUCUGAUACUGUUGCUGGAAUUUUACUUUUAGUUUAUUCCAAAUAAGGGAGAACCACCAUUUUCUCUAUGCUGUAUUAACAUAAAUAUGUACCUGAACAUUUUUGCUAGAGCAUAGAAGUCAUUGUAGCACAAGCCCACACCCAAAUUUUCAGCACAGUAUAAGCAUUUUAAUAAACAUUUCAUUAUAAUACAUUUUUAUCUCUAACAGCUCCACAGAACAGGCCACUAAAAUAAUACUGGAGGCAAGUUCUUGUUUC